GGUGACUCAGUGGUAGAGUGCUUGCCUUGCAUGCAUGAGGCCCUGGGUUCGGUUCCUCAGCACCU
rnacentral:tRNA from 1 species